rnacentral:lncRNA from 1 species
AGGGUCCAGCUAUGUACAAACUGAAUCAAGAUUCUAUGUACAUCAGAAUCAAGAGAGAGUGAGUUCUUGACAUCACGGAGCGGUCUACAUUCUAGUUCAUGCGGUGGACCUGCUGGGUGGCCUCAGUUUCUUCAACUGCAAAGUGGGGAUCGUGGGGCAUAGAAGACAUCCUCGUUGGUUGUUGUGAAGAUUCAGUGAGAGAGUGACCAGUUCUUAAAGCAAUUCUCUGUCUUGAGUCAUGAAGAAUACAUUUGUUGGACUCCACUUUCCAUUAUGAGAAAUACACAUUCCAUCAUCUGAACUACUGGACAAGCGCUUGCGGCUCUCAGACACACAAAUGGCCCCGUAUGAACAAUUUGGCCACCACCAUCUCUCUCGGUGCCAGAUUGCCUGUGGCAGGAGUU